GUGGGGAAUUUUGGACAAUGGGCGCAAGCCUGAUCCAGCAAUGCCGCGUGCAGGAAGAAGGCCUUCGGGUUGUAAACUGCUUUUGUACGGAACGAAACGGUCCGGGUUAAUACCCUGGGCUAAUGACGGUACCGUAAGAAUAAGCACCGGCUAACUACGUGCCAGCAGCCGCGGUAAUACGGAGGGUGCAAGCGUUAAUCGGAAUUACUGGGCGUAAAGCGUGCGCAGGCGGUUUUGUAAGACAGGCGUGAAAUCCCCGGGCUCAACCUGGGAAUUGCGCGUGUGAGUGCACGGCUGGAGUGCGGCAGAGGGGGAUGGAAUUCCGCGUGUAGCAGUGAAAUGCGUAGAUAUGCGGAGAAACACCGAUGGCGAAGGCAAUCCCCUGGGCCUGCACUGACGCUCAUGCACGAAAGCGUGGGGAGCAAACAGGAUUAGAAACCCGGUAGUCC
rnacentral:rRNA from 1 species